AUUGAACGCUGGCGGCAGGCCUAACACAUGCAAGUCGAGCGAGCGGCGGACGUGUGAGUACUGUAUGGGGAUCUGCCCGAUAGAGGGGGAUAACUUGUGGACACGGUGGCUAAUACCGCAUCAUAUCGUAUGCAACGAUAUGGGAGUAGCUAGUAGGGGGGGUAAAGGCUCACCUAGGCGACGAGCUCUAGCUGGUCGGAGAGGAUGAUCAGCCACACUGGGACUGAGACACGGCCCAGACUCCUACGGGAGGCAGCAGUGGGGAAUAUUGCACAAUGGGCGCAAGCCUGAUGCAGCCAUGCCGCGUGUAUGAAGAAGGCCUUAGGGUUGUAAAGUACUUUCAGCGGGGAGGCGUUACCCGCAGAAGAAGCACCGGCUAACUCCGUGCCAGCAGCCGCGGUAAUUC
rnacentral:rRNA from 1 species